rnacentral:rRNA from 1 species
UAGAGUUUGAUCAUGGCUCAGAUUGAACGCUGGCGGCAGGCCUAACACAUGCAAGUCGAGCGGUAACAGAAAGAAAGCUUGCUUUCUUUGCUGACGAGCGGCGGACGGGUGAGUAAUGCCUGGGAAUAUACCCUGAUGUGGGGGAUAACUAUUGGAAACGAUAGCUAAUACCGCAUAAUCUCUUCGGAGCAAAGAGGGGGACCUUCGGGCCUCUCGCGUCAGGAUUAGCCCAGGUGGGAUUAGCUAGUUGGUGGGGUAAUGGCUCACCAAGGCAACGAUCCCUAGCUGGUCUGAGAGGAUGAUCAGCCACACUGGAACUGAGACACGGUCCAGACUCCUACGGGAGGCAGCAGUGGGGAAUAUUGCACAAUGGGGGAAACCCUGAUGCAGCCAUGCCGCGUGUAUGAAGAAGGCCUUCGGGUUGUAAAGUACUUUCAGUUGUGAGGAAGGCGUUAAAGUUAAUAGCUUUAGCGUUUGACGUUAGCAACAGAAGAAGCACCGGCUAACUCCGUGCCAGCAGCCGCGGUAAUACGGAGGGUGCGAGCGUUAAUCGGAAUUACUGGGCGUAAAGCGCAUGCAGGCGGUCUGUUAAGCAAGAUGUGAAAGCUCGGGGCUCAACCUCGGAACAGCAUUUUGAACUGGCAGACUAGAGUCCUGUAGAGGGGGGUAGAAUUUCA